GGGCAUGAUACGGGAGAGUGUCGCUGCGGGGUAAAAGCCGGAGCGACCGCCGAAGGAGCAACCGCCCCGGAAUCUCUCAGGCGACAAGGACCGUCUCAUGUUC
rnacentral:ncRNA from 1 species